rnacentral:tRNA from 1 species
UUGUCCUUAAUUCAACGUUAGAAUGUGUUUCCGAUAAAGACAUUAUAGAGGUUCGAUUCCUCUAGGACCAA